rnacentral:rRNA from 1 species
UUCGAUUGCAUGCCUAACACAUGCAAGUCGAACGAAAAAGGUCUUCGGGCCUUUUUAGUGGCAAACGGGCGAGUAACACAUAUUUAACUUGCUCAUCCGAGGAGAAUAGCAGCCCGAAAGGGCUAUUAAUACGCCAUAGUUUUAAAUUAGUGAAUUAAUUUAAAUUAAAGGAGGCUGCCGAAAGGUGGCCUCGCGGAUGAAUAGGAAUAUGUCCUAUUAGGUCGUUGGAGAGGUAAUGGCUCACCAAGCCGAUGAUGGGUAGCUGGACUGAGAGGUUGAACAGCCGCAAUGGGAUUGAGAAAUGGCCCAUAUUCCUACGGGAAGCAGCAGUGAGGAAUUUUUCACAAUGGACGAAAGUCUGAUGGAGCAAUACCACGUGAACGAUGAAGGUCUUCUGAUUGUAAAGUUCUUUUAUUUAGGAAAAAAAGCGCGGCAGGAAAUGGCCGCGCCUUGAUUGUACUAAUUGAAUAAGUGACAGCUAACUAUGUGCCAGCAGCUGCGGUAAAACAUAGGUCACGAGCAUUAUCCGGAUUUAUUGGGCGUAAAGGAAGCGUAGGCUGAAAUGUGUAUUCAUUGUUAAAAAUAUUUGCUUAACAAGUGUUCGCGGUGAAGAUUACAUUUCUAGAAUUAGUUAGAGGGUACUGGAAUUCAAUGUGUAGUGGUGGAAUACGUAGAUAUAUUGAGGAACACCAGAGGCUAAGGCGAGUGCCUGGAACAUAAUUGACGCUGAGGCUUGAAAGUGUGGGUAGCAAAUGGGAUUAGAUACCCCAGUAGUCCACGCCGUAAACGAUGGGUAUUAGUCAUUUGGAUUUAAGACUGAGUGAUGUAGCUAACGCGUUAAAUACCCCGCCUGGGUAGUAUAUAUGCAAAUAUGAAACUCAAAGAAAUUGACGGGGACCUGAACAAGUGGUGG